ACUCACUAUUUCCCAAACCUUCUCACUCACAGAACCUUUUCAGUUCCUGUUCUUUGGAAACACUUUGGGAAAUUUUUGAGGCCAGGAGUUCCAAGCUGCAGUGUGUGAUUAUCGUGUCUGUGAAUGGCCACGGCACUCCAGCCUGGGCAACAUAGCAAGACCUCAUCUCUUUAAAAAAGACAGGUCUGAGCAGCUCCUAGGGGCCAAUCCCUAUUCGAGGCAACAGCAGAGGGAAGACAAGAAGAUGGCUACAUGCACCCACCACCUGACUGCAGCAGCUCACAGGCCCCCCAGGGCUGGCAUUGCCUGACCCAGGGAAUGUGGCAAGGGGUGCCACCAAGGCAAACACAGGAGGAAUCUUUAGACGGUGUGCUGGUCCCCACACCAGCCUCUGACUUGAAGUGCCUCCAUUCCCCUAGCAAAUGCAUGAAACAAAAGUUGUGCAGGCCUCACGUCUGAUUGAUUCUCUUCUCUUUGUGGACAUACGUUAGACUUAGAAAUAAACUCGUAUUAAAAGAUA